UAGGGAAUCUUCGGCAAUGGGGGCAACCCUGACCGAGCAACGCCGCGUGAGUGAAGAAGGUUUUCGGAUCGUAUAGCUCUGUUGUAAGAGAAGAACGUGUGUGAGAGUGGAAAGUUCACACAGUGACGGUAACUUACCAGAAAGGGACGGCUAACUACGUGCCAG
rnacentral:rRNA from 1 species